rnacentral:rRNA from 1 species
UACGUAGGGUGCAAGCGUUGUCCGGAAUUAUUGGGCGUAAAGAGCUCGUAGGCGCCUGUCGCGUCGGCUGUGAAAACCCGGGGCUCAACCCCGGGCCUGCAGUCGAUACGGGCAGGCUAGAGUCCGGCAGGGGAGACUGGAAUUCCUGGUGUAGCGGUGAAAUGCGCAGAUAUCAGGAGGAACACCGGUGGCGAAGGCGGGUCUCUGGGGCCGAUACUGACGCUUGAGGAGCGAAAGCGUGGGGGAGCGAACAGG